rnacentral:rRNA from 1 species
GACGAACGCUGGCGGCGUGCUUAACACAUGCAAGUCGAACGAAGAGCGAUGGAAGCUUGCUUCUAUCAAUCUUAGUGGCGAACGGGUGAGUAACGCGUAAUCAACCUGCCCUUCAGAGGGGGACAACAGUUGGAAACGACUGCUAAUACCGCAUACGAUCUAAUCUCGGCAUCGAGGAUAGAUGAAAGGUGGCCUCUACAUGUAAGCUAUCACUGAAGGAGGGGAUUGCGUCUGAUUAGCUAGUUGGAGGGGUAACGGCCCACCAAGGCGAUGAUCAGUAGCCGGUCUGAGAAGAUGAACGGCCACAUUGGGACUGGGACACGGCCCAGACUCCUACGGGAGGCAGCAGUGGGGAAUCUUCCGCAAUGGACGAAAGUCUGACGGAGCAACGCCGCGUGAGCGAUGACGGCCUUCGGGUUGGAAAGCUCUGUUAAUCGGGACGAAAGGCCUUCUUGCGAAUAGUGAGAAGGAUUGACGGUACCGGAAUAGAAAGCCACGGCUAACUACGUG